rnacentral:lncRNA from 1 species
UUUUAACAUCCCACAGUUUAACUGUACCAUCAUCCGAUGAAGUAAUUACAAAAUGGCUGUUGAACUGAAGGCAAGUGACAGCAGACUGAUGCUUAUUUGGACCAGACAAGAAGUGAGCGACUGAUGUCCCAUUAAUGUAUGUCUACAUGCACCAGUUUCAACUUCCCAUACUCUUAUGCUUGUAUCCAGAGAACCGCUAACAACAUGUACACCAUCAAACUAAUAAGAAGAAAGAAAGAAAAGAGUGCAUUAACACUUCUUGAUAUAUAAUAUCUAUGUGUAAACAAAUUUAGUGCUGUCCAAGGUAUGUCUUAAAGUUUUGUAGAUGUAGAACUGUUUGUCCAAUGAAAUGACAAUAUGUAAAGAGAGCCAAAAUUUUAUUACAAAUAAUUAUUUCAAUUGUGAACAGCAUCAGUUUAAAAAAUAUUAUAAAUUACAUAUUUUUCUUAAUAUUAGAUUGCCCGAAAAGUUUCUUUCGUUUUAUAAGGAAAUAAUAGACGCACAAUGUUUUUUUGUUUUAUAUUAGUUUAUUCAAUUAUUCACGAACAUUCAAUUCAAUAAAAUAGUAUAAAACAGAAAUUGUCGUUCAUCUAUUAUCACCUUAUGAAAUGAAAGAAACUUUUCGGACAACCUAACAUACAUUAUAUAUUGUAUCGCAUUAGUCCAUGUAUUACUUUUGUAUAAUUCGUAUAUACAGUUUAAUUAACGCUUACUUGGAGAGAAUAAACACGAUUUGUAUGUC